GUCUACAGCCACACCAUCCUGAACACACCUGGUCUCAUCUGAUCUCAGAAGCUAAGCAGGGUCGGACUUUUUUAGUAUUUGAUGGGAGAAGCACAGUAAAAAAAGGGGGGGAGUGGGGC
ensembl:rRNA 5S_rRNA 5S ribosomal RNA